rnacentral:rRNA from 1 species
GGUGAACGCUGGCGGCAGGCCUAACACAUGCAAGUCGAGCGGAUGACGGGAGCUUGCUCCUUGAUUCAGCGGCGGACGGGUGAGUAAUGCCUAGGAAUCUGCCUGGUAGUGGGGGACAACGUUUCGAAAGGAACGCUAAUACCGCAUACGUCCUACGUGAGAAAGCAGGGGACCUUCGGGCCUUGCGCUAUCAGAUGAGCCUAGGUCGGAUUAGCUAGUUGGUGGGGUAAUGGCUCACCAAGGCGACGAUCCGUAACUGGUCUGAGAGGAUGAUCAGUCACACUGGAACUGAGACACGGUCCAGACUCCUACGGGAAGCAGCAGUGGGGAAUAUUGGACAAUGGGCGAAAGCCUGAUCCAGCCAUGCCGCGUGUGUGAAGAAGGUCUUCGGAUUGUAAAGCACUUUAAGUUGGGAGGAAGGGCAGUAAGUUAAUACCUUGCUGUUUUGACGUUACCGACAGAAUAAGCACCGGCUAACUCUGUGCCAGCAGCCGCAGUAA